GUGGGGAAUAUUGGACAAUGGGCGCAAGCCUGAUCCAGCCAUGCCGCGUGAGUGAUGAAGGCCUUAGGGUUGUAAAGCUCUUUCAGUAGGGAAGAUAAUGACGGUACCUACAGAAGAAGCCCCGGCUAACUUCGUGCCAGCAGACGCGGUAAUACGAAGGGGGCUAGCGUUGUUCGGAUUUACUGGGCGUAAAGCGCACGUAGGCGGAUUGGUCAGUUAUAGGUGAAAUUCCGAAGCUCAACUUCGGAACUGCCUUUAAUACUGCCAGUCUCGAGUCCUGAAGAGGUGAGUUGAACUCCGAUUGUAGAGGUGGAAUUCUUAGAUAUUAGGAAGAACACCAGUGGCGAAGGCUGCUCACUGGUCCGGUACUGACGCUGGGAUGCGAAAUCGUGGGGAGCAAACAGGAUUAGAAACCCUAGUAGUCC
rnacentral:rRNA from 1 species